UUGUCCCAUCAGGUCCCAGAAAAAGUCUACCCCAAAUCAGCAAAGCCACCCUGAUGAUGGGAAGCUGACGUGAUCAAGUGCCAAUGCCUAGCAAAACAACCCAGCCAUCCUGAUGACUCUUGAGGAGGGAAGUCAGUCCCAAGAAGUGGCAGAAUUAGAUGCCUGAGGAAAAAGAGAAAAGAGCGUUCUCUAAAAGUGGUGCCAUUUCAGAGAGAUACAGAAACAAAGGCAAGACAGGCCCACUUGCUACCAUACUCCAGGCACUCGCACUUCAUCUUCUCCCAGGGAGACUUCAGAAAGGUUUAGAUCAACAUUCGAAUCCAAGAGACUGGCUGGAAUGGAUUGCAAGCAGUAUCUCCCGUCUAAAUUGUGACCGCUACAGGGUUCAGAAAUACUGAGUGAACUGUGGGAUAGAUCCAUAUAAGUCUACGCGUACAAGGAAUGAAGAGGGUUCUUGGAAGGAAAAUCAUUCCAAGAGAAGGAGUUGGACACGAAAAGGUUGACAAAACCUUAGUUACUGAAGUAUUAAACACCUUUAAGAUUGAUGCUGCCCUGAGAGGAUCGUAAGAAGAUUUUCAAACUUCAGGUUAAGAUGACCCCUGCAGGUGGCUGCAGAACCAUGGUGAUGUACACAGUGCCUGGCACACAGUAGGUGCUC